rnacentral:lncRNA from 1 species
AUAAAGCAUGCCUCGGAGAAUGAAAUCUUCUGUUCCGUGUGGAUUGAUUCUUGUUGAAGAUCAUUUGUAUACCUCUUUUUGUGAACGAUUAUGAUGCCAAUGUGGAGUGACAGAGUCUUCAGUUGGUGUGAUUUUUCUGGAUUGACCAUGUCAUUCUUCAUUCGAAGGAUCAAGGAAGUUCUACUGUUGGCGGAGGGAAU